rnacentral:rRNA from 1 species
UACGGAGGGUGCAAACGUUGCUCGGAAUCAUUGGGCGUAAAGCGCACGUAGGCGGCCCGGCAAGUCGGGUGUGAAAACCCUCGGCUUAACCGAGGAAGUGCAUUCGAAACUAUCGGGCUUGAGUACUGAAGAGGGUCUCGGAAUUCCCGGUGUAGAGGUGAAAUUCGUAGAUAUCGGGAGGAACACCAGUGGCGAAGGCGGAGACCUGGGCAGAUACUGACGCUGAGGUGCGAAAGCGUGGGGAGCAAACAGG